GUGGACUGGUGACAGAGAUAGAAGGUAACUCGUUUUUCUUUUUCUUGUAAAUAAUUUCCUCUUUGUUGAUAUUUAUAUAUCACUUAUUAUUUAUUAACACAUACUCAAACGACGAAAUAAUUUCAUGGAUAUUUGUUAAUGUCACUACAUGCUUCUAGGUAGUAAGAACAUUUUCGUCAUACUAAUAUAUUCAUCAUCAUACGAUAUGCUAACCAUAGAGUUUUACUUUUCCUGAACAAUGCUCCUUCACCUGUAGUAAGGGAUUUGCUCUUACAAAUGUGGAGGUUUAUCAUCUUCUCCAAACACAAAUUUUAAAAUUCAACCGAUGAAUCCAUGAAUUAUAGCAGUGUUUAAGAGGAGAUAUCAGAAUCCCAACUCCAAGAUGCAAUUGAUAGAGAACAUGGGAGGACCCACUUGGGGUCAUGUGGAUGUCAUUAAUUUUAAUUUUAAUUUUUGGCAUUUCUUUCACGUCUUACUUUGACGCUCAUUAUGGGAUGUAAAAUGAAAUCAAAAUAUUGCAUUAUUAAUGUAAUUUCAAAGUGUUCACGGAAUAGGCUUUUACUCAUUAAUGGCGUGUGAAAUGGCCAACCGCAACAAAAGUUAUGGGGCGUCAAAAUAUGCAAUUCCAAACUAGUGUUUUGAGAAUAUGC
rnacentral:lncRNA from 1 species